UCUGCCCCUUAAGGCGUUGCAGCGCAACCAUCCAUGUUGCAGCUGUGUCAAAAGGUGGCGGAGAGCACAGGUGGUCGUCUGCACCGGGUCUCCGGUGAUUAAUGAGGACUCGGCGUGAAUAUUGACCACCGACA